rnacentral:rRNA from 1 species
UACGGGGGGGGCAAGCGUUGUUCGGAAUUACUGGGCGUAAAGGGCUCGUAGGUGGCCAACUAAGUCGGACGUGGAAUCCCUCGGCUUAACCGGGGAACUGCGUCCGAUACUGGUUGGCUUGAGUUUGGGAGAGGGAUGCGGAAUUCCAGGUGUAGCGGUGAAAUGCGUAGAUAUCAGGAGGAACACCGGUGGCGAAGGCGGAUCUCUGGGCCGUAACUGACGCUGAGGAGCGAAAGCAUGGGUAGCGAACAGG